rnacentral:lncRNA from 1 species
GAGGGGGUCAACUGUCCUCCCUGUACCAAAAGAGGCCAACGUCAUGACACUAUACAACGUUUGACAUGUUUGAACGAACGUAAAUAUAUUUUUUCCCCUCGUUCAUGAAGUGAAGUCCGGCGGGCUUAGAUCAUGUGCUAACAACACGGAGCUUUUUGGACAUAAAUGAUGAGCUUUUUUGAACAAAACUACAUUCGUUAUGGACCUGGGAUCCCUGGAAGUGACAUCUGAUGAAGAGAAUCAAAGGUAAUGGAUUAUUUACAUAGUAUUUUAGAUUUUAGAUCUCUCCAACAUGGCGGUUAGUCUGUAUCGCAAAGCGUAUUUUUCUGGGCGCAUCGAUUGCGUUCAAGAGAUGUAAAUCUAUAAUUCUUUAAAUGACAAUAUAAUAUUUUACCAAUGUUUUCUAAUAUUAAUGAUUUAAUUUGUUGUGCUGACUUGACUGCCGGUUAUUGGAGGGAAACGAUUUCCUGAACAUCAACGCCAUAGUAAAACGCUAUUUUUGGAUAUAAAUAUGAACUUGAUAGAACUAAAAAUGCAUGUAUUGUCUAACAUAAUGUCCUAGGAGUGUCAUCUGAUGGAGAUUGUCAAAGGUUAGUGCAUAACUUCAGCUGAUUUUGUGGUUUUGGUGAUGCCUGUCUUUGAAUUGACAAAACAUUACACACAGCUAUUGUCAAUGUACUCUCCUAACAUAAUCUAUCUUUAUGCUUUCGCCGUAAAACCUUUUUGAAAUCGGACAAUGUGGUUAGAUUAAGGAGAUGUUUAUCUUUCAAAGGGUGUAAGAUAGUUGUAUGUUUGAAAAAUUUGAAUUUUGACAUUUAUUUGGUUUCAAAUUUGCCGCUCUUGAAAUGCACCUGCUGUUGAUAGGGUGCACCACGGGUGGCACGCUAGCGUCCCACAUAGCCCCAAGAGGUUAACACACUAGCAAGUUCGAAACAAACCCCACUCCUCAUUCACUGCACAUAGAACCCCAUCCAAUCCCUCUCAAAAUCCCCCAGAUGGUUUUCCAUCCUCCCAUAUGCAUACUCCAGUGUGAGCCGAGCCGGCAUAAGUACUAGCAGCACAGCUCUGGGGUCUAUACACCCCGCCACAUGCAUCUCAUGUUUCCUGGCACACUGCCAUUUUUAACUGUCCCAACCAGUAGUUUACUAGGCAGUCCCUUCACCUAUUGGCUACGCUAUACGUAGGCCCGCCAAUAAAUGGGUCCAGAGUCAGACCCAAAAACAAAAGUAGGGUGGUUGGUCGGGGUGGAGGGAGGGCUUAUAACAUGAUUAUCUAGCAACCAAAAGGUUGUGAGAUCCAAUCUCAUCACGGACAACUUCAGAAUUUUUGCUAAUUAGCAACUUUUCAACUACUUACUACUUUUUAGCUACUUUGCAACUACUCAGCAUGUUAGCUAACCCUGACCCUAACCUUCUCUAUGAGAGGCUUAUACAGGGAGCGCCAACAUCCUCUCAGAGAGGAGCCACGUUCCCAACCCCCGUCCCUCUACCACCCUGUUGCCCUCAGCCCAUGCAGAUGGUCUUUCUGAGCCACCUUCACAGCUACCAUGUACAGAGCCUUUUUGCUGUGCAAAAGGUUCCCAGCUUUGGAGUCUUGAACGAUAGGAUCAUUCCCUCACCCUACUGGUAUUCUCUGCAGUGGCAGCAAUUGUGAAAGGAGGUAGAUCAGUGUCAUUAGUGGUUAGACGGUUCCAGUCUCCCUAGCGGCUCUCUGAAUGAGCCCGGAAGUGCAGCAUGGACCCCCUCCACCUCCUGCUGCAGCAGCCUGGCUGACCUUGUGGAUGAAGCCUCCGCGAUGUCGCUGGCAGAUUUCCACCCAGCCUCUUCUUCCAGGUCACCCAACUUAGUGAUCCCCGCUCUCACAAGCCUGGCUUGCAAGCUGGCGGAGGUCAACACUCUGGACUGGAUGAAUAGGUUGUGCAACGGUGGCUUCUCCAUUAUCCAUGGCCAUGAAACAUCUCUGUGAGCAGAUACCAAGGUCAUACCCAAGGUCCUGUGCUCUCCUCAGAACAGCCCAAGCACUGUCCCUGCAGCACACACCCUUCUGGUACAGAAGUCUCUUUGCAGCUUUAAGACGGAAAGCUGUCACUCUGGACCCAAUAUCCACCAGCCCUUGGCCCCCGUGAUGCAAAGGGAGAUGUAACACUUCUGCAUGUGGCCAGUGUUGACCAAAAUAAAUCCACCUGUGACCUCUGCAGUUGCUAGACGAGACUCUGUGGGGUUCCAACACCAUCAGCCUGUGAUAGAUCAUUGAAGCCGCCAAGUUAUUGGUGACCAGUGGCAACAACCACCGCCAUUUAGACAACUUAACUGCAACCUUGUCCACCAGCCCCUCCCAGUUUCUCUCCUGAAACUCUGAGGCCCCCAAGAACACCCUUAAGAACAUCUCUUCUCUGCCCCACUGUAGCCCCCCAGGAAGACUAGGAGAUCCUGCUAUGACCCAGUGUAACCCCCCAGGAAGCCUAGGAGAUCCUGCUCUGACCCACUGUAACCCCCCCAGGAAGACCAGGAGAUCCUGCUCUGACCCACUGUAGCCCCCCAGGAAGACUAGGAGAUCCUGCUCUGACCCACUGUAGCCCCCCAGGAAGACUAGGAGAUCCUGCUCUGACCCACUGUAACCCCCCAGGAAGACUAGGAGAUCCUGCUCUGACCCACUGUAGCCCCCAAGGAAGACUAGGAGAUCCUGCUCUGACCCACUGUAACCCCCCCAGGAAGCCUAGGAGAUCCUGCUCUGACCCACUGUAACCCCCCAGGAAGACUAGGAGAUCCUGCUCUGGCCCACUGUAACCCCCCAGGAAGACUAGGAGAUCCUGCUCUGACCCACUGUAACCCCCCAGGAAGACUAGGAGAUCCUGCUCUGACCCACUGUAGCCCCCCAGGAAGACUAGGAGAUCCUGCUCUGACCCACUGUCACCUUAGCUGAUACCAUCACCUCAAACAACAAUAAAGCCUUGCUAAACUCUUCUACAUCUCCCUCCCCUUUAAAAACACUGUUACAUCAUCAGCAGAAGCCGACAAUGAAACCGUCUCCGACAAU